AUAGGAUAGUUUUUAUCCCGGACUUUUGAAGAAGUCUCUUGGAAUCGCAACAUAACCGAACUCUACGCGGGCGGAAGCUAGUUACUCUAUAAAGAAACAGAUGUUGUCUAUGUUAUCCCUGGUAUAUUCUGAGUCAACAUAAAGUUUAACCCAGUUUCCGACAGUCAGCAGAUGCCAGUGCAUAAUAAAGAAAAUGAUUUAUUUAAAAGAACUAGCUAGAACUUACGAAUGAGGUUUUAAGUACAUUAUAAGGCUUAAAUAAGAUAAAGACGAAACUUCGGGACUUUUAUUUACUUACAAAAAUAGCCAUAGCAUUAUACAAAAAAAAAACCUUUUAAAUAAAAGAUUAAUCGUUAAAGUUUAUGAUAAACGUGUUUAUAAGGCUACGUUCUAAUAAAUAAAUGGAUAUUUUUUAAUUUUUAAGUCGUCUUUUAUUACAAUAGUUUUAUAAAUUAGAAUGUCUAGCUAAUUAUAAUAAAUUAAGGUAAUUUUGGAAAUUAGCGUAAUUAAACUUUUUUUUUAUUGACUUCCUACAUUAUGACGUAACAGUUAUAUUAUUACUUUCGUCGCUAGUACCUAUAUGUUCAUACUUUAUACAGCUAUUUGCUCAGGUGUAAAUUAAAUUACGCAGUAACCUAUUUGUUUAAUUAUUUCAUGUAUUAGUUCAUUACUUACGGCCAUAGCUAAUAGCCAUGUUUUCUUUAUUCAUAAUCACAAUUCUUUUUUCAAAAUCUUCAGCCAAACUUUUUUUUUCUGAAUCCGAUGAUCCCAGUGUUUAUGCCAUAAAUCCUAGAAGACUUGGGCCUGUUAGUAAAGAGGUAGAGUUUGUAAAUAGAGGAGAACCUUUAUGGGUUUUAUCGUUGAGUGGAAAUGACUGGAUGGCCCCGAAAUUAAGGCUUGGGAAUACAGCAGAGUUGGAGGAGUUUUUUGAUUAUGUUGGACCAUUGAAUAGAAAGUAAGUAAUGAUGAGUUAACUCUUUACUGCGUCUGAGUGUACUAUAAUAACCAUAAUAAUCAGUAACUCCGCGUAUAAAUAGAUAACAUAAAUAUAUACACCUGGGUAUAUUUUUUAAUUGUACAUUAAAGCUUUAUUAUUAACAUUUCGUGAUGUAAUAAAAGAAAGUGCAUCAAAUGUACGAUACUAAAAUACAGUUUUAAAACAUGGCUAAACCACGUUCUUAUCUCUAUACUUCUACCAUUUAUUUUCAACGUUUUGAAAUUACGAAACUAGUUCAUCAUUUACUCUUGAGCGACUCUGCAGUUUAGGAACUGUAAUUUGGACCACUUUCUCGAACCUUCGAUAGCUCAGUUGGUAGAGCGGUGGACUGUAGAUGGUUUCAAAUUGGUAUCCAUAGGUCGCUGGUUCAAAUCCGGCUCGAAGGAAUUCUUUUUAUAUUGUUCAUACUAGAUAGUUUUUUUUUUAAUAAAUAAAAUGUUUUGGAAAGACUAUUACAGUUGAAAUUAAUUGAAUUGGUUUUAUUAUUUUAUCUUGUAAGAUAAGGGUGUACGUGCUCUUGAAGUGUUGGCGGAUUAAUUUAAUUAAUUAAUCAUAUCAAUGACCUAUACCUAAUAAUAACAAUUUCGUAAUUGAAAUACAGUAAUCAUUUAACUACUUUUUUGUUUACUUAUUACAUAAGCGUUAAAAAAUCAAACCUUAUCGCCGUCGUCCACCCCAGACGAGGGUAAAGAAAGAUGACCCUGAACGUGCUAAUCUAGCAGUGGAGGUACCUCCAGGAGCUGAUCUGCAGAAGGAGUUCAUCAAAAUGAUUAAUAAGUUUGCUUUGCCGUCAAGCAGUGAACCGGAUUCGUACAUAACUGACAACAGUCAUGAUUACGAUAGCACCCCAUCCGUGGCAUUGCACUUCAAAGGCCCAUACGCUAUCCUAAUAGUGGAAAUCGGAAGGAAGCAGUGGCAUUAUUUCAUCAGAUCGCAAUCGUCACUUCCGGAAUGGUUUUACGAAGCACACGAUACGCGCGAAAGUCCCAUACUUUUGCCGGAAGAAGUCAAAAUUAAACUGUUUAAUUCUCUCUGGCGUGUGUUACACUUGUUCUUUGGGCAUCCAGUAUAAAUAAUGAUUAAAUAAUUACAAAACA
rnacentral:misc_RNA from 1 species